GAUGAACGCUAGCUACAGGCUUAACACAUGCAAGUCGAGGGGAAACGACAUCGAAAGCUUGCUUUUGAUGGGCGUCGACCGGCGCACGGGUGAGUAACGCGUAUCCAACCUGCCCAUCACUUGGGAAUAACCUUGCGAAAGUAAGACUAAUACCCAAUGAUAUCCCACGAAGGCAUCGGAAUGGGAUUCAAGAUUUAUCGGUGAUGGAUGGGGAUGCGUCUGAUUAGCUUGUUGGCGGGGUAACGGCCCACCAAGGCAACGAUCAGUAGGGGUUCUGAGAGGAAGGUCGCCCACAUUGGAACUGGGACACGGUCCAAAGUACUACGGGAGGCAGCAGUGAGGAAUAUUGGUCAAUGGGCGAGAGCCUGAACCAGCCAAGUAGCGUGCAGGAAGACGGCCCUAUGGGUUGUAAACUGCUUUUAUAAGGGAAUAAAGUGGGUCACGUGUGACUUUUUGCAUGUACCUUAUGAAUAAGGACCGGCUAAUUCCGUG
rnacentral:rRNA from 1 species